GGUGAGAUGGCCGAGCGGUCCAAGGCGCCAGACUAAGGUGAAGUUAUGGGUUAUUUGCCGAUAAUCUGGUCUCUUCGGGGGCGGGAGUUCGAAUCUCCCUCUCAUCA